rnacentral:rRNA from 1 species
UACGAAGGGAGCUAGCGUUGUUCGGAAUCACUGGGCGUAAAGCGCACGUAGGCGGAUUUGCCAGUCAGGGGUGAAAUCCCGGGGCUCAACCUCGGAACUGCCUUUGAUACAGCAAGUCUUGAGUUCGAGAGAGGUGGGUGGAAUUCCUAGUGUAGAGGUGAAAUUCGUAGAUAUUAGGAAGAACACCGGUGGCGAAGGCGGCCCACUGGCUCGAUACUGACGCUGAGGUGCGAAAGCGUGGGGAGCAAACAGG